rnacentral:lncRNA from 1 species
GCUGCUCUGUUCUUUCAGACACACGCACCGCGGCGGCCAUUCCCCACCGGCGAGAUGUCGACAGACGGCCUCGAACUCGACGGGUAUGUUGAUUUUGCUUCAUUGGUCUACUUUCCCCAUCCUUUUCGUCUGGAUUCGCCGGCGUUUCCCCAUCCUUUCCGUCUAGAUUCGCCGGCGUUCGACUGGAAACUCCUUUCCUGAUGGGGCUAGAUUUUGAUUGUAGGAGGGGUGUAGCAGACAUCGCCGGAUGGAAUUGUGCUGUGUUCCCAGGAUUCCAUGAGUGCGCCAAAGCACUGGAAGGUGGCGAAUGGCGGCAAAGCACAGGAAGGUGGAGAUGGACAGAGAUACGAUGUGUGCUCUGAAGCCACUAGCGGCUGGACAAGGAGGUAAGAUUUUUUGUUUCCCCUCAUGCUUGAUUCGCAGCUGUUAAAGCUUAAACUGCUUUGACCAUGAUUGCUGGAAAUCAAAAGAUAGGUUGUGGGGCAGAUCACUAGGGAUAGUUUCAGGUUCGGCUGUGUGCUGGUUUGGCCACAUUUUUUGCAGUGGAAAAAUGUCGAAAGUUAAGCAUAACAUUAGUUGGUGGAAUUGUCGAGGGCUUCAAGUUGGAAAUGUUUCCACUAUGCCGGGGGUGAGGGGGGAAAGGUUUACUCAAUGAGGUUUCGUUAUGGCUAGAUUAUGACAGGGGCGUCUCUGUGCUGGCAGGUUCGGUUGUCUGUCCUCCCAGUGGAGUCCCAGUAUUCCAUGAGUACGCCAGAUGUCGAGAUCGACAAGGAUGGCAAAGCAUAGCCAGAUGUAGAUGCAGCGAGAUACGAAGGUUAGUAAGAAGCGGCUGUAGCUUUUUCUCUUUGAUUUUGCAUCUUUUCAUCAAGGAUUUUUGCAUUGUAGGUGUGUAAAUUAGUUCACUUUUGUUAGCUAGCAUAGAAUUUGGUCCGCAAGAAAGAGUAUUUCAACUGUCAGACAGUGUAGUUUCAGUUAAAAAUUCGUGGUACGUAUGCACUUUGGAUGGCAAUGUGAUUGUUUCUGGUUUUUUGUUCUGAUUGUUUCUGGCUUGUUGUCACCUAGAGGAAAUUGUCAUUGGUGCUGGUGUGUGGCCUGCUUAAUUUCUUUUAGUUGGAUUAGUUGAGCUAGUUAAACAAGUAUAUAGUUUUACGGAAUUGUGGAGAGACCAUAGACAUGAUGAAAUGAACACAACAAUUUUGGGAGAUUUUUGAUUUACUGCAUAAGUGUGUGGAUGCAGUGGAAAGACAAUUGAUUUGUUUCGGAUCUCACUACAAAUCGACAAAACGUAGGAUGUUUAUUUGAUGACCUCUGUUUCAAUGAAAGACACGUGAUUUAUGAGAAGUGUUGGAACACUUUGUUAUUGGGAGAUUUCUGAUGAUGGAUGUAUUUGGACAACAAAUUCAGCAGAAAACUGUAGCUAGGUCAAAAUGUGCUGUUAGGCUUGUUGUCACCUAGAGGAAAUCGUCCUUCGUGCUGGUGUGUGACCUGCUUAAUUUGUUUUAGUUGGAUUAGUUGAGCUAAUUACAUACAAGUUGAUGUGCACAGAAUUUAAAAAGUAUAUAGUUUUAUGGAAUUAUGGAGGGGCCAUAUACCUGAUGAACUGAACACAACAAUUUUGGGGGAUUGUUGAUUUUCCGAGUAAGUCUGUGGAUGCGGUAGGAAGACGAUUGAUUUGUUUCGGAUUUCGCUACACAUCGUAGGAUGAUUAUUUGAUGAGCUCUGUUUCAGUUAAAGACACAGGAUUUAUGAGAUGUGUUGGAACACUUUGUUAUUGGGAGAUUUCUGAUAAUGGAUGUAUUUGGAAAACAAAUUUAGCACAAAACUGUAGCUUGGUCAAUUUUGUCCACACCGAACGGCUAGUUUACGUAAUGUCAAGGCAUCGGCUAGGUGUGUUGGGUUUAGUUUCGUAUGACAGUGGAUGGACUACUUGUUUGGUAUUCAGUACAUGACCAAAGUGGGAUUCAGUACAUGGCCAAAAUGGAUUACCCUGAUGAAAAUGUGAUUGCCAUGAGAUCUACGUUGGCAUCAAUCAGUAGGAUAGGUCUUGUGUGUGAUGAGCUUUGAUUCAUUGGAAGGCACAUGGGGGCUUUUUUGAUUUGUAUAGGUGGAUCGCCUGUGAGCACAACUGAUUUUUUUGGCAAAAAUGUAUUUGAUUUGGUAUUAGCGUUCGUAUUUACAUAAUUUGAGUAAGAAUCUGAACAAAUCAUAGUCACUAUAACCAUUUUGUUGUGUGUGUGUGUGUCUUAGUUUUAUUACUCACCGGACAGUUCGCUCUAGGAAUGCUUAGAGGCAAACUGAUUGUGCUUAGGUUGUUGUUUUCAGUAAGUUGGCAUGUUUUUUAGAUGGCCCUGUUAUCUACCAGAACAAUAUUCAAAAUGGUUGUUCCAUGCAAAGAUUACUUGGCACACCCUUUAUUCAAUUCCCAGACCGCCCUGACAAAAUUUUGUUUGUUUGUUCUGCUGAGACACCAUUUUCAGGGUUAGGAUCGGGAAAGCGCCGGAUGAGACGGAGAUGAACAUUGACAGGAAAACAAUGCUUGAAUUGUCUGUUUGCGCUUAUGCGGAAGUGCACAAACUGGGGGAUGGUUGGACAUCGCCGCAAUGCAUGCGGUACUAAAAGGAGCGGAUCUUUUUAGCCUAACUUCCUCUAGAUUAAAACUGGUUGUGAUGUUUGAUGCCAUCAAGUCUCCAUGUGGUUGUGCGGUAGUUUCUCUAUCUCGGAUGUCAGAACUUUAAUUUGUGCUACCAACAGUAAUUCUCCUGAUGUGUGUUAACUUUGUCUGAACUUUUUUGCUGUGCGAUUGCAGUUCUGUUGUUUGGUCAACUAAAAUUUCAGUUUUACUACUGAUGGGAUGAGUGUUGUUUUUCUACCUGGUCUUUUUUUUCUGUCAAAACUGUGUUGUUUUUGCUGUCGACAGCAGUAGAGCGGCUGUAGUUCCAGUGCUUAGCUUGUUAGGCAGGGAGCUGAAAUUUGAAAUUAUAAGAUAAUGUUGCUGGUGCCUAGAUGGCCCUCGAUUUUAC